rnacentral:sRNA from 1 species
UCAAAAACCCCGGGGACUGAGGACCCUUGUUUAAUCCACAAAACAGGUAGAGCAUGGGCAACAGCAGUGCAAGAUUCUUCACUAAUGGCCUGUUCCACAGCCUCUUGAAGUCAAUGGAAAGAUGCCAACUGAUUUCAAUGGACCUGUAUCUGGCCCUUAAUGUACCUGAAGCUUGCCAUGG